AUACUUCCUGGAAAAGGAGAUACCAUGAUUAUGAAGAUAGUUUUCUUUGUAUUAAUUUUCUUCAUUGCACUCCAAAUAUGCUGACACUUGUGAUUUUUCCUAACACAAGAAAAUUAACAGCAUAAUUUGUGGUAGUAGAGACCUCCUUUGCACUGUCCCCUAA
ensembl:snRNA U1 U1 spliceosomal RNA